UGGGGAAUAUUGCACAAUGGGCGCAAGCCUGAUGCAGCCAUGCCGCGUGUAUGAAGAAGGCCUUCGGGUUGUAAAGUACUUUCAGCGGGGAGGAAGGGAGUAAAGUUAAUACCUUUGCUCAUUGACGUUACCCGCAGAAGAAGCACCGGCUAACUCCGUGCCAGCAGCCGCGGUAAUACGGAGGGUGCAAGCGUUAAUCGGAAUUACUGGGCGUAAAGCGCACGCAGGCGGUUUGUUAAGUCAGAUGUGAAAUCCCCGGGCUCAACCUGGGAACUGCAUCUGAUACUGGCCAGCUUGAGUCUCGUAGAGGGGGGUAGAAUUCCAGGUGUAGCGAUGAAAUGCGUAGAGAUCUGGAGGAAUACCGGUGGCGAAGGCGGCCCCCUGGACGAAGACUGACGCUCAGGUGCGAAAGCGUGGGGAGCAAACAGG
rnacentral:rRNA from 1 species